rnacentral:tRNA from 1 species
UGGGGUGUGGCCAAGCGGUAAGGCAUCGGGCUUUGAACCCGACAUCGGUGGGAAUUUUCCGAGAAGGAAAAUCGAGUCCCUCCUCCCCAG